rnacentral:rRNA from 1 species
AUGCCAGAAGAAUGGAGACGGAGUAUAUUAGUACCAAUCUUCAAGAACAAAGGGGAUGUUCAGAGUUGUACUAAUUACCGUGGAAUUAAGCUGAUGAGCCAUACAAUGAAGCUAUGGGAGAGAGUCAUUGAGCACCGCUUAAGAAGAAUGACAAGCAUGACCAAAACUCAGUUUGGUUUCAUGCCUGGGGGGUCGACCAUGGAAGCCAUUUUCUUGGUACGACAACUUAUGGAGAGAUAUAGGGAGCAAAAGAAGGACUUGCAUAUGAUGUUCAUUGACUUGGAGAAGGCCUAUGAUAAGAUACCGCGGAAUGUCAUGUGGUGGGCCUUGGAGAAACACAAAGUCCCAGCAAAGUACAUUACCCUCAUCAAGGACAUGUACAAUAAUGUUGUGACAAGUGUUCGAACAAGUGAUGUCGACACCGAUGACUUCCCGAUUAAGAUAGGACUGCAUCAGGGGUCAGCUUUGAGCCCUUAUCUUUUUGCAUUAGUGAUGGAUGAGGUCACAAGGGGUAUACAAGGAGAUAUCCCAUGGUGUAUGCUCUUUGCGGAUGAUGUGGUACUAGUUGACGAUAGUCGGACGGGGGUAAAUAGAAAGUUAGAGUUAUGGAGACAAACCUUGGAAUCGAAAGGGUUUAGGCUUAGUAGAACUAAAACCGAGUACAUGAUGUGCGGUUUCAGUACUACUAGGUGUGAGGAGGAGGAGGUUAGCCUUGAUGGCCAGGUGGUACCUCGGAAGGACACCUUUCGGUAUUUGGGGUCAAUGUUGCAGGAGGAUGGGGGUAUUGAUGAAGAUGUGAACCAUCAAAUCAAAGCAGGAUGGAUGAAGUGGCGCCAAGCUUCUGGCAUUCUCUGUGACAAGAGAGUGCCACAAAAGCUAAAAGGCAAGUUCUACAUGACGGCGGUUCGACCCGCAAUGUUGUAUGGCGCGGAGUGUUGGCCGACUAAAAGGGGACAUGUGCAACAGUUAGGUGUGGCGGAGAUGCGUAUGUUGAGAUGGAUGUGUGGCCACACGAGGAAGGAUCGAGUCCGGAAUGAUGAUAUACGAGAUAGAGUUGGGGUAGCACCAAUUGAGGAGAAGCUUGUCCAACAUCGUUUGAGAUGGUUUGGGCAUAUUCAGUGCAGGCCUCCAGAAGCUCCAGUGCAUAGCGGACGGCUAAAGCGUGCGGAGAAUGUCAAGAGAGGGCGGGGUCGACCGAAUUUGACAUGGGAGGAGUUCGUUAAGAGAGACCUGAAGGAUUGGAGUAUCGACAAAGAGCUAGCUAUGGACAGGGGUGCGUGGAAGCUUGCUAUCCAUGUGCCAGAGCCAUGA